CCUACGGGAUGCAGCAGUGGGGAAUAUUGCACAAUGGGGGGAACCCUGAUGCAGCGACGCCGCGUGAGCGAUGAAGUAUUUCGGUAUGUAAAGCUCUAUCAGCAGGGAAGAAAAUGACGGUACCUGACUAAGAAGCCCCGGCUAACUACGUUCCAGCAGCCGCGGCAAUACGUAGGGGGCAAGCGUUAUCCGGAUUUACUGGGUGUAAAGGGAGCUUAGACGGCUGUGCAAGUCUGGAGUGAAAGGCAUGGGCUCAACCUGUGGACUGCAUUUGAAACUGUUGGUCUUGAGUAUCGGAGAGGCAGGCGGAAUUCGUAGUGGAGCGGUGAAAUGCGUAGAUAUUAGGAGGAACACCAGUGGCGAAGGCGGCCUGCUGGACGACAACUGACGGUGAGGCGCGAAAGCGUGGGGAGCAAACAGGAUUAGAUACCCUUGUAGUC
rnacentral:rRNA from 1 species